rnacentral:tRNA from 1 species
CGGCGUGGUCGUGGGCGGCGACACCGGGCCGCUCCGGCUGGCCGCGGCGGCCGCAGCGGCCACCGUCGGGCUGUUCGGGCCCACCUGGGCCGGCC